rnacentral:rRNA from 1 species
UACGUAGGUGGCAAGCGUUGUCCGGAUUUACUGGGCGUAAAGGGCGUGCAGGCGGUUUGUCUAGUCUAGGGUGAAAGCUCCCGGCUUAACUGGGAGAGGUCCUUGGAUACUGGCAAACUUGAGGGAGGCAGAGGAAAGUGGAAUUCCCGGUGUAGUGGUGAUAUGCGUAGAUAUCGGGAGGAACAUCAGUGGCGAAAGCGACUUCCUGGACCAGUACCGACGUUCAGGCACGAAAGCGUGGGGAGCAAACAGG